GGAACAGUGAAAGAUGUCAAGACAUCCUGUGAAGGUAAAGAAGAGAAUGAUUCGUCUUGGGAUUUGCCUUCAGAGUCUGAGGUAAAACAUCUAGAGUUGGGUUACAAGAGGAAGACCGUGAUUUCUCUGAGGAUUUGAAGCCCAUAUACAGGCCUCUGUUUAUG